ACGCUGGCGGCGUGCCUAAUACAUGCAAGUAGAACGCUGAAGAGAGGAGCUUGCUCUUCUUGGAUGAGUUGCGAACGGGUGAGUAACGCGUAGGUAACCUGCCUUGUAGCGGGGGAUAACUAUUGGAAACGAUAGCUAAUACCGCAUAACAAUGGAUGACACAUGUCAUUUAUUUGAAAGGGGCAAUUGCUCCACUACAAGAUGGACCUGCGUUGUAUUAGCUAGUAGGUGAGGUAACGGCUCACCUAGGCGACGAUACAUAGCCGACCUGAGAGGGUGAUCGGCCACACUGGGACUGAGACACGGCCCAGACUCCUACGGGAGGCAGCAGUAGGGAAUCUUCGGCAAUGGGGGCAACCCUGACCGAGCAACGCCGCGUGAGUGAAGAAGGUUUUCGGAUUGUAAAGCUCUGUUGUAAGUCAAGAACGAGUGUGAGAGUGGAAAGUUCACACUGUGACGGUAGCUUACCAGAAAGGGACGGCUAACUACGUGCCAGCAGCCGCGGUAAUACGUAGGUCCCGAGCGUUGUCCGGAUUUAUUGGGCGUAAAGCGAGCGCAGGCGGUUUGAUAAGUCUGAAGUUAAAGGCUGUGGCUCAACCAUAGUUCGCUUUGGAAACUGUCAAACUUGAGUGCAGAAGGGGAGAGUGGAAUUCCAUGUGUAGCGGUGAAAUGCGUAGAUAUAUGGAGGAACACCGGUGGCGAAAGCGGCUCUCUGGUCUGUAACUGACGCUGAGGCUCGAAAGCGUGGGGAGCGAACAGGAUUAGAUACCCUGGUAGUCCACGCCGUAAACGAUGAGUGCUAGGUGUUGGAUCCUUUCCGGGAUUCAGUGCCGCAGCUAACGCAUUAAGCACUCCGCCUGGGGAGUACGACCGCAAGGUUGAAACUCAAAGGAAUUGACGGGGGCCCGCACAAGCGGUGGAGCAU
rnacentral:rRNA from 1 species